CACUGGCGCAGCAGCAGUCUCUUCUCUUGCCAUCAGGGAGGGUUUUGUGUGUUGGGUUCGGACUUGCCAUUGUCUUGCUUUGUUCUUGGGUUCAAAAAGCCGUUUUUUAUCUGCAUUCAUAUCGGUGUCUUUUAUGAAUAAUCAAAAGCAGCAAAAGCCAACGCUUACCGGCCAGCGUUUUAAAACUCGGAAAAGAGAUGAAAAGGAGAGAUUUGACCCUUCUCAGUUUCAAGAAAGUAUUGUUCAAGGCUUGAACCAAACUGGCACAGAUUUGGAAGCGGUUGCAAAGUUCCUCGAUGCCUCCGGCGCCAAGCUCGACUACCGCCGGUAUGCUGAGACACUCUUCGACAUCCUGGUGGCUGGAGGAAU